UCGACCCACUGCGACAGACAAUUAUCAGAAAGUAUUAUUAAAACGAAAUGAGAGAAAGGAAGGUUCUCGGAGAAACAUUCGCGAGUGUCUGUGAUGAAUUUUUCUUCAAUUAUCAAGGCAAGAAAAUUCAGGCACGAAACAUCAUGCGAGGUGCAUCGUUAGGACUGGCGCCACCAGUGACAGGACAAUGAUAUCCAGUGGUUGGUCUAAUUACCUGGCGCGGUGCGAUAGCCUGGUAGAGGAGAAUCGUG